AAGUCGUAACAAGGUUUCCGUAGGUGAACCUGCGGAAGGAUCAUUACAGAGUUAGGGUCUUCCAGGCCCGACCUCCCAACCCUUUGAUUACCGAACCUCUGUUGCUUCGGCGGACCCGUCUCUCGCGAGACCGCCGGAGGAUUUGCCGCGAGGCGUCCUCUGGCCCGCGUCCGCCGAGAGCCUACCUUUACAAAUUCUGAAAUAACCGUGUCACAUGCCUAAGUCAAAUUGAUAAAUUAAAGCAAAACUUUCAACAACGGAUCUCUUGGUUCUGGCAUCGAUGAAGAACGCAGCGAAAUGCGAUAAGUAAUGCGAAUUGCAGAAUUCCAGUGAGUCAUCGAAUCUUUGAACGCACAUUGCGCCCCUUGGUAUUCCGAAGGGCAUGCCUGUUCGAGCGUCAUUAUCACCCCUCAAGCCCCGUGCUUGGUGUUGGACGGCUUGGUCGUUGCCCCGGCGCGACCCCUCCGAAAGAUAACGACGGCGGCCUGUGGUUCCCCCGGUACACUGAGCUUUUUACGAGGCAUGUGUCGGACAAGGGCGCCCAGGCUCCGGUCCCCCUUUUGCCCUCACCGGCGAAAAACUCACAAGGUUGACCUCGGAUCAGGUAGGAAUACGCGCUGAACUUAA
rnacentral:rRNA from 1 species